rnacentral:piRNA from 1 species
AGGCAACAAAGAGCAUGAUGAAAGCA